UCCAAAGCAAUCUCUGAGGAUUAGCCUCUAAAUUAAGAAACGCUUCUUCAUUAGAAACAAACAUUUCAGCUGGAAGGAGUCCUCGAUUUGAGCAAAGCACUUUAUAAACCAUCAUCCAUCAGUGCAGAACAUGUGGGGCUGGUGUUACCAGAGCGUGCAACGUAUUUGGAACAUUCUCUGUACAGCAGCCUUUUGCUGGUAAAGGUCAAUAAUGGGGAGCAUGCUCCUUUCAACAGCACAUCUGUUGAAGACCCUAUGCAAGGUCUUUGAAGAUUUGCAUGUUUACUAGCAGCAGUAAAACAAAGAAAAAUGGAAAUGUUAAAGAAGCUCUAGAUGGCUAAACUCCCAGGACCAAGCGAGUCUGGAUCUUGAGCAUAAAUUUCCUCAGAGGGGGACUUUGAAGUUUGUUUCAAUCUGUGAAAUUCUAGUAAUGGUCUAAAUUUGCUCCUCAACAUCUGGUGGAGAUAAUUGCAACAACAAAUGGAUUUCAUUUUACAGUCAUCAUUGCCCUUGCUGCCUCUUCCACCUGGAAUUGCCUUUCCUUUUUGACUCGAGAUAUCUCCUAGUGACUUUUCACUGCUUCCCCUGGGCCAUUGCUCUCCCUCUGUGGCUGUCAUUGAUUCUUUCCCUUCCUGUAUACUUAUGCCAUCCCAUCCUUCAAGAGAUGGAGUUGACUUCCUUGUCUCUUGUGAUUCUCUGUGUAGCAGAAAUGACUGAGACUUCUCUGCCCAAGCCUGCAGACGGCUGGCAGCUGUCACAUUCUACCUUGGAAAAAGCCACUUGACAUGUAGGUUCAGCCCACUCAAGACCACUGUGUUGU
rnacentral:lncRNA from 12 species